GAUGAAGAACGUAGCGAAAUGCGAUAAGUAGUGUGAAUUGCAGAAUUCAGUGAAUCAUCGAAUCUUUGAACGCACAUUGCGCCCCUUGGUAUCCCGAGGGGCAUGCCUGUUCGAGCGUCAUUUCACCACUCAAGCCUGGCUUGGUGUUGGGCGACGUCCCCUUUGGGGACGCGCCUUGAAACGCUCGGCGGCGUGGCACCGGCUUUAAGCGUAGCAGAAUCUUUCGCUUUGGAAGUCGGGGCCCCGUCUGCCGGAAGACCUAGUCGCAAGGUUGACCUCGGAUCAGGCAGGGAUACCCGCUGAACUUAAGCAUAUCAAUAAGCGGAGGA
rnacentral:misc_RNA from 1 species